rnacentral:sRNA from 1 species
UGACAGAUAAACAUAGACCUAUAUGUGGU